UACAGAGGGUGCUAGCGUUGUUCGGAAUCAUUGGGCGUAAAGGGCGUGUAGGCGGUUUGUUAAGUCAUGUGUGAAAUCCCUCGGCUCAACCGAGGAAAGACGCAUGAAACUGGCAAGCUAGAGUACCGAAGAGGGGGGUGGAAUUCCCGGUGUAGCGGUGAAAUGCGUAGAUAUCAGGAGGAACACCUGCGGUGUAGACGGCUUACUGGACCAUAACUGACGCUGAGGCACGAAAGCGUGGGUAGCAAACAGG
rnacentral:rRNA from 1 species